rnacentral:rRNA from 1 species
GUAGGGUGCGAGCGUUAAUCGGAAUUACUGGGCGUAAAGCGUGCGCAGGCGGUUAUGUAAGACAGAUGUGAAAUCCCCGGGCUCAACCUGGGAACUGCAUUUGUGACUGCAUGGCUAGAGUACGGUAGAGGGGGAUGGAAUUCCGCGUGUAGCAGUGAAAUGCGUAGAUAUGCGGAGGAACACCGAUGGCGAAGGCAAUCCCCUGGACCUGUACUGACGCUCAUGCACGAAAGCGUGGGGAGCAAACAGGAUUAGAUACCCUGGUAGUCCACGCCCUAAACGAUGUCAACUGGUUGUUGGGAAUUAGUUUUCUCAGUAACGAAGCUAACGCGUGAAGUUGGCCGCCUGGGGAGUACGGCCGCAAGGUUG